UUAACUUAAUAAAAUUAUCCACUACAUAAUCAUUCAUUAUCUUUACAAUUAAUCAUCUAAAGCUACCACAUCUUUUCAAUCAAAGUAUAUAUCUACAUAUAUAGAGAGUACACUUCAUAAUUCUGUCCCUUCUCUUCCGUAAACGUAGCACAGAAAUUUGAUACCCAGUAUUGCAAGGCAUGUUGUAGAAGCAGUCUUCCUGUAUAUUUAAAAAUAAUAGCAAGUUAGGAAAAUGAAGCAAAUAGGUCACCAGAGACACUUAGUGUCAAAAUCAAUACACAAAGACAAUAGAGUUGCUACAUGGUACUAAUGUACACCGUAUUGCAAAAAUCAAUAUAAAAAGACAAUAGAGUUGCUAAGGGUUUGGUUUAACUAGCAAGACAUAGUUUGUCAAAACUAGCAUAUAUUACAGUUUAUAUGGUAGAAUAAACGGCCACAAUAUGAUCAAAUGCUCUGGAUUAUAUCAUACUAACCACAUCAUAUAAAAUCAAUUACAAAAAGAAUUUGGAAAUUGAAAAGUUAUAGAGAAAGCACCUGAUUGCAUUGUGCAUGGAGUUCAAAUCUUUAAAUUCAACGAAGCCAAAGCAAAAUCCCUGUUGCUGGACAUGUGAAUAUGAGUAAACAACAGCUGACCCAAGUGGAACACAAUGAUAUACAUUCUUAGUGUAUUAAAAACUACCUUAUUACUUCUAACUUAAACACCUCCUUUCACUAUCAAAUUCACCUCAUGCCUGAAGUUAUGACUAAAUCAAUAAACAAAAAGGAUAAUGAAUGUACUUUAGUCCAAAAAUAAAGGAAAAUGUAAAUGAAGGAUGUACAUUAUAUCUUUGACAAGGACUAUAGUUUCAGUGGCAGAACUCUAUAAAAAUUGAUGUAUACUAAAUCAUGGUUCCUUUAUUAAGCUCAACUAGAUCAACAUUUUCAAAAAAGGCUACUGUACGAAUGAAGAAGAAUUAAUAUCCAUUUUGCAGUUCAUUGCCUGUAUGAGUCUAUUUUUUGGUUUUAGGUCUAUUACAAGCAACAAAGUUAGUAGAAAAAAAAAAGUAAACAACAAAUGGAUCAUCAUUCCAAAUCCCAUCGCUUAAGUAGGUAUUUAUACACUUAAUAUAUCUUUGAUAAUUGUGAAUAUAUCAUUAAAUUAUCAAUAUUAUAUAUCACACAUUAAAAAACAUGAGAUACAGGAAAUGAGCU
rnacentral:lncRNA from 1 species